rnacentral:rRNA from 1 species
AGCGAACGCUGGCGGCAGGCCUAACACAUGCAAGUCGAGCGGGGUUUUCGGACCUAGCGGCGGACGGGUGAGUAAUGCGUAGGAAGCUGCUCGAUAGAGGGGGGAUACCAGUUGGAAACGACUGUUAAUACCGCAUAAUGUCUACGGACCAAAGUGUGGGACCUUCGGGCCACAUGCUAUCGGAUGCGCCUACGUGGGAU